rnacentral:lncRNA from 1 species
AAAGUCUUUCAGAGGCCGGACGCUGGCACUGGACGGAGUAGGGAACCCUAGCCGUUAUCCCACCAAAGGGUCCCAGCGCCUAGAGGGGCUGCGGAAAGCUCCUACAAUACGAGGAGCCCUUGGAGCCCAGAGCGGGAUCCUGCGAGCCGAGGCCCCGUUCUCUGUUAGGAUCACGGGGACUGCCCCAGGCAGCUGCUGGGCCCGGUCGCGGACCUCGGCCAGAACAUCCUCCCAGAACACAGAGGAAUCUGACAUCAGUGGCCUCCCUUGGUAGAGGUGGGGAGCCGAGGGGCGGCAGUGUGGAAGGGCCAUCGGCCUAGGUCUUUCGUAUCCCCUCCGGCCUCUCGGGGCUGUGCGUUCGGAAACAGCGAAAGGAACGGCCUCAGGAAUCUGGCCUCAGCCGGAGCACUGGUGAACACAGGCUCCCGUCGCGCCAAGGGAAGUAGGAAAAGCUGCUUCCGGGCGGAGGGGCUGCACUUCCGGGGCCCGCGUCCCCCGGCGGCUUCGCCGAGAAGGGGCUUUGGGAGCUUAAGGGCGCCGGCACGCGUUCCCCUGGCGCAGAGCUCGCUAGCCGGGGCGCGGGCUGCCUCCUUGUUCUGGUGUGAUCCGAAUGUAACGGAGCGGACUUUGGGAUCCAGAACCCCGGACUGAGGUUGUGCUUGGCUUGAGGGGCGGGCUGCUGCAGUUCCUGAUACUGGUUUUUCUACAUGCUUCAGCCAAAGACAUAUACUCUUUGAUCCCUGAGAACACUAUUUCCUCAGUGUCUUUGCACAUGGAGUUCACUUCUCUGCUUGUGAAGUCUAUGAAUAUUGCAUGGCUGAUUUGUCACAAUUUUAAGUCUUCAACAUCUGGAGUGUUCUGGCAAGAAUUUGUAGGAAAAAUUUUUGAAUCAUCAGAUUACCAUAGCACAACCUUGGAGAAUAAAACUCUUUUGCUCUGAAGCUCAUCUAAUAACCUGAUAUCUCUCAAAUGAAUCUAUCCAAUGACAGGGAAUACCCCAUGUUAAACAGCUGAUUCUUGUUCUGAAUACGUUUAUUAUCUUGUAGUUAGUAAAUAAAUCAAUUGGACCCUUAAGACUUUGCUUAGAGUGAAUCUGUCUCCCAGAGCUUGAUCACAUUUGAAUGUACAGACAAAAACUAACAAAAGUGAGAUCCAUCUGGGGAUGAGGUAUUGGGAUUCUGUAAGAUCCUGCCUGAAACAGCC